rnacentral:rRNA from 1 species
UACGGGGGGAGCAAGCGUUGUUCGGAUUUACUGGGCGUAAAGGGCGCGUAGGCGGCGCAACAAGUCACUUGUGAAAUCUUCAGGCUUAACCUGAAGCGGCCAAGUGAUACUGUCGUGCUAGAGUGCGGAAGGGGCAACUGGAAUUCUUGGUGUAGCGGUGAAAUGCGUAGAUAUCAAGAGGAACACCUGCGGCGAAGGCGGGUUGCUGGGCCGACACUGACGCUGAGGCGCGAAAGCCAGGGGAGCAAACGGG